CUCCGGUUGAUCCCGCCGGACCCGACUGCUAUCAGAGUGGGACUAAGCCAUGCGAGUCAACGCCGCAAGGCGUGGCAUACGGCUCAGUAACACGUAGUCAACAUGCCCAGGGGACGUGGAUAACCUCGGGAAACUGAGGAUAAACCGCGAUAGGCCAAGGUUUCUGGAAUGGACACUGGCUGAAACCUAUAUGGCCCCUGGAUUGGACUGCGGCCGAUCAGGCUGUUGGUGAGGUAAUGGCCCACCAAACCUGUAACCGGUACGGGCUUUGAGAGAAGGAGCCCGGAGAUGGGCACUGAGACAAGGGCCCAGGCCCUAUGGGGCGCAGCAGGCGCGAAACCUCUGCAAUAGGCGAAAGCUUGACAGGGUUACUCUGAGUGAUGUCCGCUAAGGGCAUCUUUUGGCACCUCUAAAAAUGGUGCAGAAUAAGGGGUGGGCAAGUCUGGUGUCAGCCGCCGCGGUAAUACCAGCACCCCGAGUGGUCGGGACGAUUAUUGGGCCUAAAGCAUCCGUAGCUUGUUCUGCAAGUCCUCCGUUAAAUCCACCUGCUCAACAGAUGGGCUGCGGGGGAUACUACAGGGCUAGGAGGCGGGAGAGGCAAACGGUACUCAGUGGGUAGGGGUAAAAUCCUCUGAUCCACUGAAGACCACCAGUGGCGAAGGCGGUUUGCCAGAACGCGCUCGACGGUGAGGGAUGAAAGCUGGGGGAGCAAACCGGAUUAGAUACCCGGGUAGUCCCAGCUGUAAACGAUGCAGACUCGGUGAUGGGUUGGCUUCGAGCCAACCCAGUGCCGCAGGGAAGCCGUUAAGUCUGCCGCCUGGGGAGUACGGUCGCAAGACUGAAACUUAAAGGAAUUGGCGGGGGGAGCA
rnacentral:rRNA from 1 species